rnacentral:rRNA from 1 species
CGCUUACCUGGUAAAAACUUUAUUAAGAAUUUUCAUUGUUACGACCUCAGAGCAGGCGAGAUUA